rnacentral:misc_RNA from 1 species
AAGUCGUAACAAGGUUUCCGUAGGUGAACCUGCGGAAGGAUCAUUAACACGUUUAAUCCACGUUAUUCAUCAAUCUCGCGAACUUAUCAGUUUUGGGUUUUAAUAGAGGGAUAGACGACUUCUUUUUUGUCUCGAAAGAGAGAAAAAAAAGUGAACUUCCUUCUUUCCCUUAAACUGUUGUGUUUUGUCAUUUUUUGACAAACCUUAAUCAUCCUUUUAUAAUUUCUUUUUUUUGGUUGGAAACAAUCAAAUAAAAAAAUUAUAUAUGAUUUUUAUUUUCUAUUCAAAAGAUGCUUUCUAAUGGAAGCUAAUCUUUUAAUAACAAACUCAAAACAACUCUUAGCAACGGAUAUCUUGGUUCCC